GGCUCAUUAUAUAAGUUAUCGUUUAUUUGAUAGUACCUUACUACUUGGAUAACCGUGGUAAUUCUAGAGCUAAUACAUGCUAAAAAUCCCGACUUCGGAAGGGAUGUAUUUAUUAGAUUAAAAACCAAUGCCCUCUGGGCUCUCUGGUGAUUCAUGAUAACUUCUCGAAUCGCAUGGCCUUGCGCCGGCGAUGGUUCAUUCAAAUUUCUUCCCUAUCAACUUUCGAUGUUUGGGUAGUGGCCAAACAUGGUUGCAACGGGUAACGGAGGGUUAGGGCUCGACCCCGGAGAAGGAGCCUGAGAAACGGCUACUACAUCCAAGGAAGGCAGCAGGCGCGCAAAUUACCCAAUCCCGAUUCGGGGAGGUAGUGACAAUAAAUACUGAUACAGGGCUCUUUUGGGUCUUGUAAUUGGAAUGAGUACAAUUUAAAUCCCUUAACGAGGAACAAUUGGAGGGCAAGUCUGGUGCCAGCAGCCGCGGUAAUUCCAGCUCCAAUAGCGUAUAUUAAAGUUGUUGUGGUUAAAAAGCUCGUAGUUGAACCUUGGGCCUGGCUGGCCGGUCCGCCUCACCGCGUGUACUGGUCCGGCCGGGUCUUUCCCUCUGUGGAACC
rnacentral:rRNA from 1 species